rnacentral:rRNA from 1 species
GAGUUUGAUCAUGGCUCAGGACGAACGCUAGCGGCAUGCCUAACACAUGCAAGUCGAAGGAUGAGCCUUCGCGCUUCAACUGGAUUACUGGUGCAUAGCUCAUUUACACUCUGCUUUUCUCCUUUGUGAUCACCCCGAAAAACUCUUGGAUUACUACCUCUUGGUAUAUAUGAGUGGCAUCUCCUUUAGAUUUGUUCUUAGGCAGUGAUAUAUAAUUAUUCUUUCUAUUAUCUAGUUCGAUAGGUAUCUGCUCCCCGUAGCGACUAUCCAUAGGGGUUCUGAGAGGGAUGUCCCCCACGCUGAUACUGAGAUACGGACCAGACUCCUACCGGAGGCACCAAUGAGGAGUAUUGGACAAUGGUCUGAAGACUGAUCCACCCAUGCCACGUGCCGGAACACCGCCUUGUGGGUUGUACACUGCUUUUGCAAGGGAAGAAUACAGACUACAAGUAAUUUGAUGACUGUGCUCUGCGAAUACGCCUCCGCUAUCUCCGUGCCCACCCCCGCUGUAAUACAGAGGAUGCGAGCGUUAUCCAGAUUCAUUGCGUUUAAAGGGUCCGUACGCGGGCUAAUAUCUCCUAUGUGAAGGCGCUCCUCUCAACUGAUCAACUGCCUUUGACACUGUUACUCUUGAGUGGUUGUGAAGUAUUUGGAAUGCGUAGUGUAGCGGUGAUAUGCUUAUAUAUUACACAGAACACCGAUGGCAAAGGCGUAUUACUGACAGUUACUUGACGCUGAUGGACGAGCGCGUGGGGAGCGAACAGGAUUAUAUACCCUGAUACUCCACGCUGUACACUAUGGAUACUAGUCUGUUUGGAUGCUCGACUGAGUGGCUCAGCUAACGUGAUCAGUAUCCCACCCUGCGGAGUACGCACGCAAGUGUGAAACUCAAAGGAAAUAGACGGGCCCCCGCACAAGCGGGUGGCGCAUGUGGUAUAAUUAGCUGAUACGAGAGCAACCUUCCCAGCGUUAAAAUGGAGAGAGACGUACUGAGAGAUAGUUUCCUCUUGGGACAGUUUUCAAGGUGCUGCAUGGUUGUCGUCAGCUCGUGCCGUGAGAUGUCAGGUUAAUUCCUACAACGAGCGCAACCCUCUGCCAUUAGUUCCAGCGAGUGGAGUGGAGCAUUAUAGUGGGACGCCCGGUUCAAACCGUGAGGAAGGGGGGGAGGAGUUCAAUUCUUCUCCGCCCUUACUUCUUGGGUUACACACGGGUUCCAAUGCUCGUUACAGAGAGCAGCCAAUGCGUGAGCGGGCGUGAAUCUAUAAAGCCGAUCACAGUUCGGAUCGGAGUCUGCAACUCGACUCCGUGAAGUUGGAAUCGCUAGUAAUCGGAUAUCAGCCAUGAUCCGGUGAAUACGUUCCCGGGCCUUGUACACACCGCCCGUC